rnacentral:rRNA from 1 species
UACGAAGGGGGCUAGCGUUGCUCGGAAUGACUGGGCGUAAAGGGCGCGUAGGCGGAUGGCACAGUCAGAUGUGAAAUUCCCGGGCUUAACCUGGGGGCUGCAUUUGAUACGUGUGAUCUAGAGUGAGGAAGAGGGUCGUGGAAUUCCCAGUGUAGAGGUGAAAUUCGUAGAUAUUGGGAGGAACACCAGUGGCGAAGGCGGCCACCUGGACGGACACUGACGCUGAGACGCGAAAGCGUGGGGAGCAAACAGG